rnacentral:rRNA from 1 species
GAUGAACGCUGGCGGCGUGCCUAAUACAUGCAAGUCGAGCGAACGGACGAGAAGCUUGCUUUUCUGAUGUUAGCGGCGGACGGGUGAGUAACACGUGGAUAACCUACCUAUAAGACUGGGAUAACUUCGGGAAACCGGAGCUAAUAUCGGAUAAUAUUUUGAACCGCAUGGUUCAAAAGUGAAAGACGGUCUUGCUGUCACUUAUAGAUGGAUCCGCGCUGCAUUAGCUAGUUGGUAAGGUAACGGCUUACCAAGGCAACGAUGCAUAGCCGACCUGAGAGGGUGAUCGGCCACACUGGAACUGAGACACGGUCCAGACUCCUACGGGAGGCAGCAGUAGGGAAUCUUCCGCAAUGGGCGAAAGCCUGACGGAGCAACGCCGCGUGAGUGAUGAAGGUCUUCGGAUCGUAAAACUCUGUUAUUAGGGAAGAACAUAUGUGUAAGUAUCUGUGCACGUCUUGACGGUACCUAAUCAGAAAGCCACGGCUAACUACGUG